GCCGAAGCAACUAGCCCUGAAAAUGGACGAUGCUGUAGCGUGGAGCCGAUACUCAACCGUUGUAAGGAUACCGUAUGGAAAAUGCGAUCUUACAACGAGUAAGAGGGCCGUGGUGAUAGCGUUGAAGGUGUCGGACGUGAGUCCGCCUGGAGCUGUCACCAAUGCAGAUCUUGGUGGUAGUAGCAAAUACUCAAGUGAGAAUCUUGAGGACUAACGAGGAGAAGGGUUUCAUGUGAACAGCAGUUGGACAUGAGUCAGUCGGUCCUAAGGGAGCGGAGAAAUCCGUUACAACGGCCACAAUUAUUACAAGUAUUAAAACACUAACUGAUACUGUGGACGAUUUCCCGAAAGGGCAUCGGGUUAAUAUUCCCGAACUCAGACGCAGAGGGUGUCACUUCGGUGGCGAAUGCGGCAACGCAGUCAAAAUCGAAAACGUCGGCGGCAGUCCCAGGAAGAGUUGUCUUUUCUCUAUAAGGGGUCGACUCCAUGAAAACAGCUUGCCUGGAGAUAUGGAUGUUGACACCGAAGAGCCCCGCGGUUCUUGCGGGGUCUGGUGCGCUGCUGUCGGCCCUUGAAAAUUCGAUGGCGAAUAUUUUACCUCUGCCCUGAGCCGUACCAAUAUCCGCAGCAGGUCUCCAAGGUGAAUAGCCUCUAGUUUCUAGAAUAAUGUAGGUAAGGGAAGUCGGCAAAGCUGAUCCGUAACUUCGGGAUAAGGAUUGGCUCUGAAGGAUGGGCCAGUCGGGCUGUAGUUAGAAGCAAGUGUUGCGCCUGACUGGAACUGGACACCGAUCCUCACGGGUUGGAGUCUGGAUCUGUGUUGGCGCCUGCUUGUGGACGAU
rnacentral:ncRNA from 1 species